rnacentral:rRNA from 1 species
AUUGAACGCUGGCGGCAGGCCUAACACAUGCAAGUCGAACGAGUGGCGGACGGGUGAGUAAUGUCUGGGAAACUGCCUGAUGGUGGGGGAUAACUACUGGAAACGGUAGCUAAUACCGCAUACCAUCGGAUGUGCCCAGAUGGGAUUAGCUAGUGGGUGGGGUAACGGCUCACCUAGGCGACGAUCCCUAGCUGGUCUGAGAGGAUGGCCAGCAACACGGGGACUGGGACACGGUCCAGACUCCUACGGGAGGCAGCAGUAGGGAAUAUGGCACAAUGGGCGCGAGCCUGAUGCAGCCAUGCCGCGUGUAUGAAGAAGGCCUUCGGGUUGUAAAGUACUUUCAGCGGGGAGACGUUACUCGCAGAAGAAGCACCGGCUAACUCCGUGCCAGCCGCCGCGGUAAUUC